UUUAGUACGAGAGGAUUUGGAUGGACAUACCUCUGGUGUCCCAGUUGUCGCGCUAGCGGCACGGCUGGAUAGCUAAGUAUGGAAAGGAUAAACGCUGAAAGCAUAUAAGCGUGAAGCCCGCUCCAAGAUUAGGUUUCGUUGGGCAAUAGCCCGAAAGUCCCCUGGGAGACGACCAGGUUGAUAGGCCGGACGUAUAAGUGGGGUUAACUCACUCAGCUAACCGGUACUAACGGACGAAUGCUUGGCCAC
rnacentral:rRNA from 1 species